CACCCAGCUCUCCCGGGUUCCACUCCCCCAUUUCUGUGCUGAUAGGCAUCUCCUACAGCCUCCACUCCCCGAACAGACGAGAGGUCACAGCCGGGGCUCAGUCACUCAUUCAUUUAGAAAAUGUCUCUGGAGCGCUCGUUCCCAUCAGGCCUGAAACAUAUAUGAGAAGAUGGUACUUGACCUUUGCCUUCUGGGAGCUCCGUGUUGAGUAGGACCGGCUGACCGAAGACCGAGAAAACGUGUUCUAGAUCCUAUGGCUCCGAGUCGUAUGGCUGGACCGUGUUCUGGGCGACUGCCGAGUUCACAGAGAACGAGAGACCCAAGAAAUCAGGCCCAGCGCUGCGAACCCUCCUGGCCCAGCCCUGUCCCCUGUGCCCAUUGGAUAUCUGCACCGUGGCGUUUUGUUUUUGUUUUUACACGAAUACAUUUUCUUUUCAUUUAUACGGAGCCCUGCGGUGGUCCGUAGGAGCACUUGCCUGGCAAUCUGGACUGGCCUGCUCUUGGGGAGCGUUCGGCUUGCUGCAGCCACUCAGCCACAUCACAAAUGUCCCACCCCCUCCUCCUCCCUAAUCAAGAAAGUGAGGACAGAACUCAGAAGGCCAGGUGACAUCCAUUCUCAAAUUUCUUAGGAGAAAUGUGCCCUUGCUGGGCUGAACGUUAUCAUCGUAAAGUAAACCAGGAGAUCCUAGACGUGAGCAAUGGCUAACACAGGGCCCCGAUUUUCCUGGGGCUGAGGAGGGAGGGAGAAGAGAAGAGAAAGAAUCUUGCUUUUCAGACAUGUAUCGCCAACCCCCUCCCCUCUCGGAGUUAUCUGGGUGAGACAGGAACUGGUACAGAAUUACUAUGAUCGGGUAAUAUCUAGAAUCAUAAUAGUUACUACGUUUGCAAAAGCUUUUUGUUUAGGAAGUAUCCAGUGAGACAAGUGCUGUUCCAGGCGUGCCUGGUGCUCUGCUCGGCACCCCGUUCCCCACCAGCACCGGGGACGUUUUUCCUCUUCUACAAAUAACAGCCAAACCACCGGGUGUGGCCGGCAGCUGACUGAGUGGGUUUUACAUGAAGCCACACUUAGGCUAAGGAGUGAGGACAGAGCCUACCCGCCCCUGCCCCUCCCGCCUCCCUCCA